rnacentral:rRNA from 1 species
AGUGAACGCUGGCGGUAGGCCUAACACAUGCAAGUCGAACGGCAGCACAGUAAGAGCUUGCUCUUACGGGUGGCGAGUGGCGGACGGGUGAGGAAUACAUCGGAAUCUACUUUUUCGUGGGGGAUAACGUAGGGAAACUUACGCUAAUACCGCAUACGACCUACGGGUGAAAGCAGGGGAUCUUCGGACCUUGCGCGAUUGGAUGAGCCGAUGUCGGAUUAGCUAGUUGGCGGGGUAAAGGCCCACCAAGGCGACGAUCCGUAGCUGGUCUGAGAGGAUGAUCAGCCACACUGGAACUGAGACACGGUCCAGACGCCGACGGGAGGCAGCAGUGGGGAAUAUUGGACAAUGGGCGGAAGCCUGAUCCAGCCAUACCGCGUGGGUGAAGAAGGCCUGCGGGUUGUAAAGCCCUUUUGUUGGGAAAGAAAAGCAGCAGGUUAAUACCCCGCUGUUCUGACGGUACCCAAAGAAUAAGCACCGGCUAACUUCGU